rnacentral:rRNA from 1 species
UACAGAGGGGGCAAGCGUUAUUCGGAAUUAUUGGGCGUAAAGGGCGCGUAGGCGGCUUGGCAAGUGGAAGGUGAAAUCCCUCGGCUUAACCGAGGAACUGCCCUCCAAACUGCUUGGCUUGAGACCGGGAGAGGUGAGUGGAAUUCCCAGUGUAGCGGUGAAAUGCGUAGAUAUUGGAGGAACACCAGUGGCGAAGGCGGCUCACUGGACCGGUACUGACGCUGAUGCGCGAAAGCGUGGGGAGCAAACGGG